GUGGGGAAUAUUGGGCAAUGGGCGCAAGCCUGACCCAGCAACGCCGCGUGAAGGAAGAAGGCUUUCGGGUUGUAAACUUCUUUUAUGAGGGACGAAUAGAUGACGGUACCUCAUGAAUAAGCCACGGCUAACUACGUGCCAGCAGCCGCGGUAAUACGUAGGUGGCAAGCGUUAUCCGGAUUUACUGGGUGUAAAGGGCGUGUAGGCGGGACGGUAAGUCAGAUGUGAAAUGUAGGGGCUCAACCCCUGAACUGCAUUUGAAACUAUCGUUCUUGAGUGAUGGAGAGGCAGGCGGAAUUCCGUGUGUAGCGGUGAAAUGCGUAGAUAUACGGAGGAACACCAGUGGCGAAGGCGGCCUGCUGGACAUUAACUGACGCUGAGGCGCGAAAGCGUGGGGAGCAAACAGGAUUAGAAACCCGGGUAGUCC
rnacentral:rRNA from 1 species